rnacentral:rRNA from 1 species
UGCAAGUCGAACGAUGAAGUGGAGCUUGCUCCACGGAUUAGUGGCGAACGGGUGAGUAACACGUGAAUAACCUGCCCUCAAUUUCGGAAUAACCCAGGGAAACCUGGGCUAAUACCGGAUGCGUAAACCUGUGGCAUCACAUGGUUUUGGAAAGUUUUUCGAUUAAGGAUGGAUUCGCGGCCUAUCAGCUUGUUGGUGAGGUAAUGGCUCACCAAGGCGACGACAGGUAGCCGGCCUGAGAGGGUGAACGGCCACACUGGGACUGAGACACGGCCCAGACUCC